GGCUUGAGUGAAGGGUAACCGGAAUUUGAGCCUAGCGGCGGACGGGUGAGUAACGCGUGGGCAAUCUGCCCUCAGGCCCGGGACAACAGUUCGAAAGGGCUGCUAAGACCGGAUGACCUUGCGAAGUGGCAUCAUUUUGCAAGCAAAGGUUGCGCCUGAGGAUGAGCCCGCGUCCCAUUAGCUAGUUGGCGGGGUAACAGCCCACCAAGGCGGGGAAGGGUAGCCGGACUGAGAGGUUGGCCGGCCACACUGGGACUUUCUCUCGGCCCAGGGACCUACNNNANUCACCAUCCGAUGAGGGAAAAACUCCNCCAUCCGA
rnacentral:sRNA from 1 species